UGGACCUAUGAGAGUGAAAAGAAAUAGGAAUCAAAGUCCUUCCAUAGUCCAUGUCUUAUUCUGUGCGAUCCCUGGAGUGUGCACUCCCCCACGAGACCCCUGCUCCAGAAGAAGUGGACACGAUAGUCCUGAGUUGCCCCUCACUGAAGGCUGAGGGCCUGGACCAACCCGUACAAUGGCAC